rnacentral:lncRNA from 1 species
UUAAAGGCCGGUAGCUGAUGCAUUUGUUUGUUUGAAUAUAUCUGUUUAUUAAAGAUCGCAAGGAUGUCAUGUGAUUACAUUUAUUGGGUUUCAAGAGCCACAUUUGCAAUAAAGCCUACAAUGUCUCCGCUUUUCAUAAUAGAAAAAAUAAGUUGCGUCAUGAGGAGAUAAUGAUGAAAAAAGUAAAAUCUUGUCCGUAUCAUGCUCUUAAAUCUGUUAUUGCUAUCAGACUUAAUCAUAUUGCUUUAUUUUGUUUUUCUGAUACUUAUUGCUAACCUUUUUUGAUUAGUAUUGGUAUGCCUUGUAAGCCAGUUAAAAGUUGAAAAGACUUUAAUGUACAUUCUUGUUUUUGUAAACUAUGCCGACG